rnacentral:lncRNA from 1 species
UUUAAUUUUGGAUAUUCUUUGUCCAAAUACUACUUUUUCCAACCAAUGUUAUGUUUUGGUUUGAUGCUCACUAAUUAUUUCAUGAAACAAACUGUUUUCAUUUGUUUUCACUAGCUCUUCCAACUAAAAGACUAAUUCAACUUCAAAAGUAACAUUUUGUCAAAUCAAUCUAUGACACUUCCAUCACAAAUUUUCAUUCUCAAUGUUGCAUCACGCACACACAGACACACACUUCAUCCUUCCCAUUAAUAUAUCUUCUCUCGUUAGCGUGAUUCUUUUUCUCUCUUACAUUCAAUAGGUUUUUGAAACCCUUUCUCUCUCUGACAAUUUCUUGGCUCUACAUUUCUUCUUUCUCCAAAGAAUUUCUUCAUUCUCUAGCAUAAUUUCUCCCUUCUCUGUGUUUCAGUUUAGAGACUUACAAGUGAUGUUUUGUUUUGAAUUCUUAUGUUAUUUUGAUUCUUUGUCCCAAUAUUUUUUCAGUCAUGGUUUACAAAAAUUCCUUAUACCAAAAGUUAUUGCAAACCUAUUUUCAUAAACUGAUUUACAUAUUCUUUGUUGCAAACCACAACUUUUUAUCAUUAACGAAAAAUGCUUUAUUGCUUCAUGGUUAAUGAUUUGUUUGAUUCAAUAUUUUCUUGAGUGAUGUUUUGGACGUGUUUUUUUAAGGUUAUUGUUUAUCUUCAACCUUAUACUAGAAUCAAAGAAUUAGUUUCACUCUAGGAUCUGUAAGCUAGGGUUCGAUUUCAAAAUCAAUGCAAAUUUUUGUUAAGUAUUUUGUUAACUACUUAGAUUUAAUUUCUCAUUAUUUUGUUUUUUCUUUUGUGAUUUUUCUUUAUAAUGUUGUUACGUUUUUCAAAUUUAGUUGUUCGAUGUUGGUUGUUUGUUGACUCAUUAUGUAAUUUGUUUCUCACAAUGCACUUGAUUCGACAUGCUCUUUAUUUUUACUAUUUUUUUAAAUUAAUUUUUAGGUGAUUAAAGGUUAAUGUUUGGUUGUUUGAAGGAGAGGUCGAAUGUUUGAAGGUUUUCAGGGGAAGGAGAUGAAGGUGUGUGAAAAAUUGUGGUAUUUUCUAGGUAAGGGAUGAAGAAAUGGAUGAAUAUAAGGGUACUGGGGUUUGAGAUUAUGAAGGAUUGAAGGUGUUUUUUGGGGGAAAUGGAAGAACAGGUUGAAUGUAUAAAGAUUAUGGUGAAGAAUAAUGAAUGAGGUAAAGAUUUCUGAAAAAGAGACGGGUUCCGUUUCACGAAAUUGAUGGUUUUCUAGGGAAUAUUAUGAAGGUUUGAUGAGGGUUUUCUUGUAUAAGUUUGAGGGAACGGGAGAUGAUGAGAGAGAAAAAUUCAAAUAAAAUAAAAUAUAGUUCCUUUUCUUGUGAUUAUCAGGACAGGAAAGAGAUAAGGGAAAUCCAUAGGGGUCAAAUUGGACGUUGCCACGAGUGAAUAUGCGUAGGGAUGAGGAUAUGACCAAAAGAUGGAAAUAGCAGUUAACACAAGGAUGACUUUCUUAUGAUUUGAUAUUGAUCAAUUUAAAAACACAUUGAAUAUGAAAACUGAAUUUUAAUUUACUCCUAUUAUUUUAUAGUUCUCUGUGUCUCUCUGUAUAGUGAAUUAUUUUAUGCUGCAAAGACAGUUACUCAAUGUUUAAGGGAGUUCAAAUUAUGUGUUUAUUUUUUAUCCAACACUUCCCCAUCUCAAGAAUUCUUGCAUGGCUUAAGAGACAUAGAUGUGUUUACUAUAUAUAACUUUUAUCUUUUUCUUUAAUACAUGCUUGAAAAUUAUGAUGAAAUUUUGCGGCCAUCUCAUAUAUCUGGAUAUUUAUACAUUAGAAUUGUACUUACGUUCCAAACCUCUAUUAGUUUACUUUGCAUCGAUCUAUUUGUCAUUGCCUAACAGAUUAGUACUAACUGGAUUUUUCUUUUUUGCUAUAGAGAUGGGUGGCACUACCGAGUGAACCUCCAAGAAUUAAUGAUACCGAUGUAGAUGAUUGGCUUCUUCGCAUUUUUGUUCUUCAGGGUGAAUGUUUAUUCUUAUAUUUGUUCUAUAUAAGUAGUUAACUAACUUCUAUUUUAUAUGCUCAACUGUAGUUUUCUUCACACUUAAAUGCCUUAAUCUGAAGAUCUUUCAAUGUCAAAACAAGAAACACUUUUAAUUAUUGUACUUAAUCAAUAUUGGAUGCGAGUUUCGCCAACAUAUGGCUUCCAAUAGUUUUUGCCAAAAGAAAUUUUGUGGAUUGACAUUUCUUUAUACAUGUUUUCUAAGUGCAGUUCAUGUAGAAAUGGUGAUUCAACCACAAUCUCUGAUAACGCGAAAAUGUAUCGUAUAUUUGACUUAAUAUGCACUGCUUUUACUUGAUUAACACUUAGUAUUUUAUGUUUAUUUCAGGUAUUUAUCGAAUAAAAGAUGUAUAGACAAGUAAAGAGGAAAAUAGAAAAAAGAAAAGAAAAAGAGAAGAAAAUGGAGCAAAAUAGGAAUGGUGGGCCCACCACACAUGGAAGCAUGGCGCCCACCACACCAAAUGAAUGGUGGCGCCCACCACUUGGAUAUGUGGCGCCCGUCACAUGGCUUUAGGAAGUGGUGGUGCCCACCUCACACAAUGUGGCGCCCGCCACAAGGCCUUAAGAAGUGGUGGUGCCCAUCUCACAUAAUGUGGCGCCCGCCACGUAGACCACAUUAGGAUUGUGACAGCCGCCAUCAACCCGGUCUUCCUUAUUCUUCUCCACACUUUUUGCCACGACCUUCUCUUACGUUUUCAACUAACCACUCCCCACUAGUAGAUAUCCAAUGCUACGUUUAAGGAGAGUGGGGAGUAUAUAUGGGAAGGUUAGUUUUUACGAAAAGGAUGCAUUUUUCUAGUCAGAUUGUUGUUGUUAGAUUUUUUUUCUUAGGCAGUUUCCUACUUUGGAAAAGUAAUAGAUUCUCCACAUCAGGGACUAUUGCAAUUAUUGUUUAAGUAUCUGAAUUUGAUUGUAACGGUGUACUGGAUUGCCAAAGCAUGACGACAUUGUUUAAUUUGAAGAAUCAGUAUUCAUUCCAAGUUCUCGAUUUAUAUUCCAGGUUUUAUUUUAAUUGCCAUUUUAA